AUUAAAUAAGACCUCCCACAUAUAUGCUAGAGAAUAUGGCUCUAGUGUCUCUACCCGGCACCGUAAAUGUCGGACUAUGCGGGAAAGCAAAC
rnacentral:ncRNA from 1 species